rnacentral:lncRNA from 12 species
GCUGAGACCCUCACCCUCUCAGACCACUCUGAGGGCUUCCCAGAGUAUUGCCUUACCCACUGCUCAGGAACAGGUCCAAGAGGUUAUUUCAUUCUGCUUUACCCGCAAGCCACUGCCUCAGCGACGGACUUCCAUGGCAUUCCUACUGGGGACUGGGGUCCUGCGACUGCCACUGUUUCUACUUCUCAGGCCUCAAGGAAGGGGACACGGCUCACUGCUCUGAGGCUGGGUCCCAAACGGGUGUCAGCUGCUUCCCUCAGCCACGACAGCAACAUUGGAAUCAGGAGCAUGCCAGGAUUUUAAAUUUCCUUCUGGGAUUGGCCAAAG